UGGCGGCAGGCCUAACACAUGCAAGUCGAGCGGAUGACGGGAGCUUGCUCCUGGAUUCAGCGGCGGACGGGUGAGUAAUGCCUAGGAAUCUGCCUGGUAGUGGGGGACAACGUUUCGAAAGGAACGCUAAUACCGCAUACGUCCUACGGGAGAAAGCAGGGGACCUUCGGGCCUUGCGCUAUCAGAUGAGCCUAGGUCGGAUUAGCUUGUUGGUGAGGUAAUGGCUCACCAAGGCGACGAUCCGUAACUGGUCUGAGAGGAUGAUCAGUCACACUGGAACUGAGACACGGUCCAGACUCCUACGGGAGGCAGCAGUGGGGAAUAUUGGACAAUGGGCGAAAGCCUGAUCCAGCCAUGCCGCGUGUGUGAAGAAGGUCUUCGGAUUGUAAAGCACUUUAAGUUGGGAGGAAGGGUUGUAGAUUAAUACUCUGCAAUUUUGACGUUACCGACAGAAUAAGCACCGGCUAACUCUGUGCCAGCAGCCGCGGUAAUACAGAGGGUGCAAGCGUUAAUCGGAAUUACUGGGCGUAAAGCGCGCGUAGGUGGUUUGUUAAGUUGGAUGUGAAAGCCCCGGGCUCAACCUGGGAACUGCAUCCAAAACUGGCAAGCUAGAGUACGGUAGAGGGUGGUGGAAUUUCCUGUGUAGCGGUGAAAUGCGUAGAUAUAGGAAGGAACACCAGUGGCGAAGGCGACCACCUGGACUGAUACUGACACUGAGGUGCGAAAGCGUGGGGAGCAAACAGGAUUAGAUACCCUGGUAGUCCACGCCGUAAACGAUGUCAACUAGCCGUUGGAAUCCUUGAGAUUUUAGUGGCGCAGCUAAC
rnacentral:rRNA from 1 species